UAUUAGUCUUACGUUUUUUGGGCAAACUUCAAAUACAUUUCCUGUAGUUUCACACUUUUUCACUUUAGUAUCCUGUGGUUUAAAGUGUAUCAAGUUAGUACUCUAUAGUUUCUCACUUUUUCACUUUAGUAUCCUGUGGUUUAAAGUGUAUCAAGUUAGUACUCUAUAGUUUCUCACUUUUUCACUUUAGUACCAUGUGGUUUAAUAUUUCGUUAAAUUAUAUACAAAAAAAAUUUUAGAUAUCCUACCUAGAUUUAUUGAAUAUUCAUUUUAAUACCCUUUAGUUUUAUUUUUGUCACUAACGAAAAAAAUACCCCGAAAUAGAUAAUAAAAAGAAAAAAAUAAAACCACAGAAUACUAACUUGAUACACUUUAAACUAUAAGGUACUAAAGCGAGAAAGUGCAAAACCACAUGAUACUAACUUGAUACACUUUAAAUCAUAAGGUACUAAAGUGAGAAAGUGCGAAACCACAUGAUACUAACUUGAUACACUUUAAAUCAUAAAGUACUAAAGUGAGAAAGUGCGAAACCACAGGGUACUAACUUGAUACACUUUAAACAAUAGAAUACUAAAAUGAGAAACUACGAAACCACGGGAGGUAUUUGAAGUUUUCCCUACUUUUUUCUAUCUAUCUUUAUUUUGUUUUGUUUUCUUCUC
rnacentral:lncRNA from 1 species